rnacentral:rRNA from 1 species
UACGAAGGGGGCUAGCGUUGCUCGGAAUCACUGGGCGUAAAGGGCUCGUAGGCGGCCAACUAAGUCAGACGUGAAAUCCCUCGGCUUAACCGGGGAACUGCAUCUGAUACUGGAUGGCUAGAGAUUGGGAGAGGGAUGCGGAAUUCCAGGUGUAGCGGUGAAAUGCGUAGAUAUCUGGAGGAACACCGGUGGCGAAGGCGGCAUCCUGGACCAACACUGACGCUGAUGAGCGAAAGCCAGGGGAGCAAAGCGGG